rnacentral:rRNA from 1 species
UGGGGAAUAUUGCACAAUGGAGGGAACUCUGAUGCAGCGACGCCGCGUGAACGAAGAAGGCUUUCGAGUCGUAAAGUUCUUUUAUAUGGGAAGAUAAUGACGGUACCAUAAGAAAAAGCCCCGGCUAACUACGUGCCAGCAGCCGCGGUAAUACGUAGGGGGCUAGCGUUGUCCGGAAUCACUGGGCGUAAAGGGUUCGCAGGCGGAAAUGCAAGUCAGGUGUAAAAGGCAGUAGCUUAACUACUGUAAGCAUUUGAAACUGCAUAGCUUGAGUAGAGUAGAGGUAAGUGGAAUUUUUAGUGUAGCGGUGAAAUGCGUAGAUAUUAAAAAGAAUACCGGUGGCGAAGGCGACUUACUGGGCUCAUUCUGACGCUGAGGAACGAAAGCGUGGGUAGCAAACAGG